GAACUUUUAAUAAAAAAAUUGUAAUUCGUUUGAUUAAUUGUGUGUAUAUACUUCUUUGAUAUGAAACUUAUUUUCUGUCGGUUUAUUUUCUGUCAAUUUAAACUAAACAUAAUCUUGCAUAUAUAUACUUUAAGAAUAAAAUAAUCAAAGAAUAAGAAUCUAAUGUGAAAGUCUUAUUAAGUUUAAAUGAAUGAAACUUUUGUUUAUGAAAAAUAUAUAAAAUAAUUCAUUAACUUAAUAGUUUCAUAUUAAAAAAAUUAAAUAUUAGAGUCAAUAAAUUGACAUCAAAGAAGUUUUAUAAUGAUCAUUUUUUUAUCAAAUAAGUAUAUAUCACACAGUUAAUCAAACGAAUUACAGAAAUUUUAUUAAAAGUUCAUACCAAAACAGAUUUAAAGAAUUAAAAAACUAAAUUAAAUAAUAUCUUAUAUAAUUUUCAUAAUUAAUAAAAAUAAAAAUAAUAUAAUUAUAUUGUUUUCAAAUACACUAAAUAAAAAUGUUAAAACACUACUUACCAAAUUUUAUAGAACAUAUUGAUUUUGUAAAUUAGAUUUUGUUAAAAAAUAUAUUUACGCUUUUAAAACGGUUCAAAAUCUAAUUUAGGUAAAUUACUGUCAGGUACGUAACAUUUCAAUUGAUGAAACGAGAGAUUUAAACGGUCUCCGACAUACACAUCAUUUUUUGGAUGAAUGAAAUUAAACUCUGUGUUGUUAACUACAUAACAUCAUAACGUUGAGAUAUGUUGUCAUGCAUAAUAUAUACUUCAUGUAGAUAAGUAUACAUUUAUUUAGUUUGCAUGGUUAGCCAUGUGAUGGCCACUACUUCAUGUAGUCAGCAGUCACUUUUCCUUAACUGAACACCAUCACUAUCUCGACAAUACGACUGAUUUUUAUCAUCCCAUAGAACCAACAUCGUACCGAAGGUGAUUUCUCUGAAAGAAGUAGUAAAAACACUGAAGUCGAAAAAAGGUCCAAGAAGAUCUAAAACGCGCCCGAAGCCCAUUUACGAUUUUAAACGAGAAUGAGUCCAAACUACAGCGACGGUCUAUAUAAUAAAAAGAUAAAUAUAAAGUUUCUACGAUAAGCAUGUAGAUCGAGAGGUUAAGAAAAACUUCCGCAAAGAGAUAAAUUCAAAUCAAGGACAGAAAAGGCAAGGGUGCACCGACCUUGGAGACAUAUAUAAGGAGAGCUAUGGCAAGGAGUGUGGGGGCCGAAAAAAUUAGACCUUAGGAAAUUUUUGUUAGUUCUAGGAGAACUUAGGAUUUAGGUGGUUAAACUAGCAAGUUUCAUAAUUAGAAUGUUUUACUGCUUGCUCUUUUGUUCUCCAUUGAUAACGGAUCUCCGAUCAUCUUGUUUUUCGGUGAAACUCUGUAAACUCUAUUCAUCUUAAUUUAUAAAACGCCUAUGAGAAACUUUUACGAUAAUUUGUUAUCUCUAUUUUUUUCGUAUUUGUGUGUUUACGCAGAGAAUCCAGGUCUUCAUGGAAACUCAAGAAACUUGUCUUUCCUCCAUUAACUAAAAUCGACCGUGCAGAUUUUGUUUUCUACAACUAUUUUACAUAUACAUAACUAAACAUUUUUUAUGUGAAAACUUCAUAUUUGUUUUUACAAUAAAUGAAUGUUGAGAGAGAAAAUCUUCAUAUCUAUACUAUAUUAAAAGGGAUAUAUGAGCUCCAUUGAGCCUAUCCACCUCAGCAUAAAAAAUCAUCCAAUUAAAACAUAAGUAAUUGACACAUCAGAUGACACAUCCUAUUUUCUUCAAUCGACGACCUUUCUUCCAAAAAGUUAUUGUUUCCCUUUUGUAUUCCCUUCUGAACCCUUCUUCCAACUUCAAUUAUAUCCCAGCUCCAAUCAAUCGAUUCCUCGCCUGCCUCAUCUUCAUCCUCCAAUGGCAUGGGUUGAUUGCUCGAACCUAGCUCGAAGCUCUUCCCCUUCUUUUCCUUACUACCGUGAUUGGAACUUCGGUGUUGAUUCCAAUCAAAAGCCUAAGAUAUGUAUCACGACUAGCACAUCAGCUGGAUUGGAUCAGAUUCUACAGUGGAUGUUCUACCAUAAGGUUCUUGGCGUAUCCACGUUUUUUCUUUUUGUAUAAGAGAAAGCUGCUACGCCCACCAUUUCUAAAGUUCUCGAGUUUAUUCCUGUGAGUUCUAGCUUCUUAGACUCUUAGUCCUCUAGGUGUACGUUGACUAAGAUAAUUAUAUGCCCGGAUUUUUAAAAUUAAGAUUACUCCAUUAUCACUGAAUAAAGCUAAAACGAGUGAAAAACUAUGCAUCUAAAGGUAAAAAUAAAUUAAUGACAAUCCUAAUUUUUCUUGGUUCUCUUAAACUGAAACGCUUCAUCUAUUCCUUUUCCUCCUGCGAAAGUUUUUGUUUUUUGGUAUCAUACAUUUUAACUUACAAAAUUGCUUCCUUUUUGUCUUUUAGUAGGCUUAGAAGAAGCACAAAAAUGAUGGUGUAAAACCGAAGAGACCAUAAAAAAAAGGAGGAGGAAGAUAGAAAAAAGACAUGGAGAAGUCAAAGAAAGGAUAAAAGUCUAUAGUGCAUGGAGUUAAGUUAGAUGAUGUUGCUCGGUUACUGAAUCGUGCUCGCAACUACUCAGCUGUGUGCUUACAUGGCUUAUAUCAGCCGAGAAUAUAAGAAAAGGUAAUACGUUUUAUUUCUUCUUUGAAGUGCAUGUCUCUCUAUCUUUAUUAGUUAAGUAGAUACUCAUAAGCAAGAAAAACGUAUAUUGAGUUUUCUGGUCCUUCCCGAAAAGUAUGGAGAAUGAGAUGUUAGGUGAAGCUUUUAAGAAGCUUCAGAACCCAUAUGAGAUAGUGAUUGUGGUUCAUCAUUUGUAUCGGCGCAUCAAGUUCAUCCAUCUCUGAUCUCCCUAGCUGUUUCUAUUGGGGGUAAGUCUUGAUAUUUGUUUGUUUUUUUCCAUUCACAAGAGAAUAGUUGAGUUUGCGAAGUGAUCCUUUUGAUGAUUGCACUCAGAAGGACUUAAACAAGCCACUGAUUAUUGCAGCCAAAACCAACAUGGAGGUGUUGUUAGAGGUGGUUGAGGAAGAGGCCAAGCUGGUGGUGGCAAAGCCGCAAAGACAAUAAAGAUAACAAAAACUGAAGGUUUUCUACAUUUGUGGAUCAUCGGGUGAACACGCUCCUGUCUCUAGGAGCAUCCGGAGCUAAAUCCUUUGUUGCUCAGAUUUGUGCAAUGAUCUUUUUUGUAAUUCAGUGGCUACAUGAGAGUUGUUUCUGAUUGACUCAGAGUUUAGAGUCUACAACGAGUGUACGGUAGGAGACGGUAAUGAUGAUAGCGGUGAAUGACUGACUCAUCACACGAUCGGGAAGAAGUAUAAGCUGAAGGCGAACGGUGAAGACGGACCAGUUAUUUUCUUAUGCAAGGAAGACAGGAAUGAUUCCAUCUCCAUCAGUAACUUAACUCUCUUCACACUCAAGAUGGUGUGGUUACAGUUCUCUGUUCUCUCGACUCUUGAGUUGUUAGUUGUUUAUCUAAUGGUAAGAUAUUUUCUCUGUAUGUAAACUUGAUCGUCCACGAAUUAACCCUCAUGUAUUUUGGUUUCUAUUUGUCAGAACAGAGUAUGUCGAUGAUUUUAGCCCAUAAAAGUUGUCAGUAAAUUGACUUGA